rnacentral:snoRNA from 1 species
AUACCAUGAUGAGGACACCUUCUGAGCAAUUAUUUGAAUCUUUCCCAAGCCUCGUACAGACUCUCAUCUUCAAGUUGAUGGAAUGAAGUAAUCUCAUUCCGCAACUU